GGAGAGUUUGAUCCUGGCUCAGGACGAACGCUGGCGGCAUGCCUAAUACAUGCAAGUCGAGCGGACUUGAAGAGAAGCUUGCUUCUCCGAUGGUUAGCGGCGGACGGGUGAGUAACACGUAGGCAACCUGCCCUCAAGCUUGGGACAACUACCGGAAACGGUAGCUAAUACCGAAUAGUUGUUUUCUUCUCCUGAAGAAAACUGGAAAGACGGAGCAAUCUGUCACUUGGGGAUGGGCCUGCGGCGCAUUAGCUAGUUGGUGGGGUAACGGCUCACCAAGGCGACGAUGCGUAGCCGACCUGAGAGGGUGAUCGGCCACACUGGGACUGAGACACGGCCCAGACUCCUACGGGAGGCAGCAGUAGGGAAUCUUCCGCAAUGGGCGAAAGCCUGACGGAGCAAUGCCGCGUGAGUGAUGAAGGUUUUCGGAUCGUAAAGCUCUGUUGCCAGGGAAGAACGCUUGGGAGAGUAACUGCUCUCAAGGUGACGGUACCUGAGAAGAAAGCCCCGGCUAACUACGUGCCAGCAGCCGCGGUAAUACGUAGGGGGCAAGCGUUGUCCGGAAUUAUUGGGCGUAAAGCGCGCGCAGGCGGUCAUUUAAGUCUGGUGUUUAAUCCCGGGGCUCAACCCCGGAUCGCACUGGAAACUGGGUGACUUGAGUGCAGAAGAGGAGAGUGGAAUUCCACGUGUAGCGGUGAAAUGCGUAGAUAUGUGGAGGAACACCAGUGGCGAAGGCGACUCUCUGGGCUGUA
rnacentral:rRNA from 2 species